rnacentral:tRNA from 1 species
GCGGGUGUAGUUCAGUGGCAGAACGAAAGCUUCCCAAGCUUUAGACGAGGGUUCGAUCCCCUCUACCCGCUCCA